UGGGGGAUCGUCUAGCGGCAAGACGCGCGGCUCUGGACCGUGAAACGGAGGUUCGAGUCCUCCUCCCCCAG
rnacentral:tRNA from 1 species